rnacentral:tRNA from 1 species
GCGCGUGUGGUGAAAAUGGUAAACACAGCUGCCUUCUAAGCAGCCGCCUGGCUAGGGUUUGUGGGUUCGAAUCCCAUCAUGCGCACCC